GUAUAGGGGAGCCGCAGGGAAACCGAGUCUUAACUGGGCGUUAAGUUGCAGGGUAUAGACCCGAAACCCGGUGAUCUAGCCAUGGGCAGGUUGAAGGUUGGGUAACACUAACUGGAGGACCGAACCGACUAAUGUUGAAAAAUUAGCGGAUGACUUGUGGCUGGGGGUGAAAGGCCAAUCAAACCGGGAGAUAGCUGGUUCUCCCCGAAAGCUAUUUAGGUAGCGCCUCGUGAACUCAUCUUCGGGGGUAGAGCACUGUUUCGGCUAGGGGGUCAUCCCGACUUACCAACCCGAUGCAAACUACGAAUACCGAAGAAUGUUAUCACGGGAGACACACGGCGGGUGCUAACGUCCGUCGUGAAGAGGGAAACAACCCAGACCGCCAGCUAAGGUCCCAAAGUCAUGGUUAAGUGGGAAACGAUGUGGGAAGGCACAGACAGCCAGGAUGUUGGCUUAGAAGCAGCCAUCAUUUAAAGAAAGCGUAAUAGCUCACUGGUCGAGUCGGCCUGCGCGGAAGAUGUAACGGGGCUAAACCAUGCACCGAAGCUGCGGCAGCGACACUAUGUGUUGUUGGGUAGGGGAGCGUUCUGUAAGCCUGCGAAGGUGUGCUGUGAGGCAUGCUGGAGGUAUCAGAAGUGCGAAUGCUGACAUAAGUAACGAUAAAGCGGGUGAAAAGCCCGCUCGCCGGAAGACCAAGGGUUCCUGUCCAACGUUAAUCGGGGCAGGGUGAGUCGACCCCUAAGGCGAGGCCGAAAGGCGUAGUCGAUGGGAAACAGGUUAAUAUUCCUGUACUUGGUGUUACUGCGAAGGGGGGACGGAGAAGGCUAUGUUAGCCGGGCGACGGUUGUCCCGGUUUAAGCAUGUAGGCUGGUUAUCCAGGCAAAUCCGGAUAAUCAAGGCUGAGGUGUGAUGACGAGGCACUACGGUGCUGAAGUAACAAAUGCCCUGCUUCCAGGAAAAGCCUCUAAGCAUCAGGUAACAUCAAAUCGUACCCCAAACCGACACAGGUGGUCAGGUAGAGAAUACCAAGGCGCUUGAGAGAACUCGGGUGAAGGAACUAGGCAAAAUGGUGCCGUAACUUCGGGAGAAGGCACGCUGGUGUGUAGGUGAAGUCCCUGCGGAUGGAGCUGAGAC
rnacentral:rRNA from 1 species